rnacentral:rRNA from 1 species
AUACGGAGGAUGCAAGCGUUAUCCGGAUUUAUUGGGUUUAAAGGGUGCGUAGGCGGGACUGUAAGUCAGGGGUGAAAUACUGCAGCUUAACUGUAGCAUUGCCUUUGAAACUGCCGUUCUUGAGUACAGUUGAGGGAGGCGGAAUGUGGUGUGUAGCGGUGAAAUGCAUAGAUAUACCACAGAACGCCGAUUGCGAAGGCAGCUUACUAAGCUGUUACUGACGCUGAGGCACGAAAGCGUGGGGAUCAAACAGGAUUAGAUACCCUGGUAGUCCACGCUGUAAACGAUGAUUACUGGUUGUUAGCGAUAUAUAGCUAGUGACUGAGCGAAAGCAUUAAGUAAUCCACCUGGGGAGUACGUCGGCAACGAUGAAACUCAAAUGAAUUGACGGGG